GCCAGGGUGGUAUAGUGGUUUGAACGUUGGACUAUGAUCCUGGAGACCAGGGUUUGAAUCUCUGUUCAGCCA